ensembl:rRNA 5S_rRNA 5S ribosomal RNA
CCCAGUAGCCAUAUCACCCUGUAGCCCAAGACUGGUCGUCCACUAAAGCUAAGCAGGGUUGAGCUUGGCCAGUACCUGGUUGGGAGACCUCCUGGGAAAACUAUAGGCUGCUGCUGGAA